AGAAUCAACGCUGGCGGCGUGCCUAACACAUGCAAGUCGAACGAGAAAGUGGAGCAAUCCACGAGUAAAGUGGCGCACGGGUGAGUAACACGUGACUAACCUACCCUUGAGUGGGGGAUAACCUAGAGAAAUCUGGGCUAAUACCGCAUAAUACCUUCGGGUCAAAGGAGCAAUUCGCUUAAGGAGGGGUCGCGGCCGAUUAGUUAGUUGGCGGGGUAAUGGCCCACCAAGACUAUGAUCGGUAUCCGGCCUGAGAGGGCGCACGGACACACUGGAACUGAAACACGGUCCAGACUCCUACGGGAGGCAGCAGUGGGAAUUUGCGCAAUGGGGGAAACCCUGACGCAGCAACGCCGCGUGGAGGAUGAAGUCCCUUGGGACGUAAACUCCUUUCGAUCGGGACGAUAAUGACGGUACCGAGAGAAGAAGCCCCGGCUAACUUCGCGCCAGCAGCCGC
rnacentral:rRNA from 1 species